AAACCAACCGGGAUUGCCUUAGUAACGGCGAGUGAAGCGGCAAAAGCUCAAAUUUGAAAUCUGGUACCUUCGGUGCCCGAGUUGUAAUUUGGAGAGGGCAACUUUGGGGCCGUUCCUUGUCUAUGUUCCUUGGAACAGGACGUCAUAGAGGGUGAGAAUCCCGUGUGGCGAGGAGUGCGGUUCUUUGUAAAGUGCCUUCGAAGAGUCGAGUUGUUUGGGAAUGCAGCUCUAAGUGGGUGGUAAAUUCCAUCUAAAGCUAAAUAUUGGCGAGAGACCGAUAGCGAACAAGUACAGUGGUGGAAAGAUGAAAAGAACUUUGAAAAGAGAGUGAAAAAGUACGUGAAAUUGUUGAAAGGGAAGGGCAUUUGAUCAGACAUGGUGUUUUGUGCCCUCUGCUCCUUGUGGGUAGGGGAAUCUCGCAUUUCACUGGGCCAGCAUCAGUUUUGGUGGCAGGAUAAAUCCAUAGGAAUGUAGCUUGCCUCGGUAGGUAUUAUAGCCUGUGGGAAUACUGCCAGCUGGGACUGAGGACUGCGACGUAAGUCAAGGAUGCUGGCAUAAUGGUUAUAUGCCGC
rnacentral:rRNA from 1 species